rnacentral:rRNA from 1 species
CCUACGGGUGGCAGCAGUGGGGGAUAUUGCACAAUGGAGGAAACUCUGAUGCAGCGACGCCGCGUGAGGGAAGACGGUCUUCGGAUUGUCAACCUCUGUCUUUGGGGUAGAAAAUGACGGUACCCAAAGAUUAAGCUCCGGCUAACUACUUGCCAGCAGCCGCGGUAAUACGUAGGGAGCGAGCGUUGUCGGGAAUUACUGGGUGAAAAGGUAGCGUAGGCGGGCGAGAAAGUUGAAUGUUAAAUCUACCUGCUAAACUGGUAGGUGCGUUCAAAACUUCUUGUCUUGAGUGAAGUAGAGGCAGGCGGAAGUCCUAGUGUAGCGGUGAAAUGCGUAGAUAUUAGGAGGAACACCAGUGGCGAAGGCGGCCUGUUGGGCUUUAACUGACGCUGAGGCUCGAAAGCGUGGGGAGCAAACAGGAUUAGAUACCCGUGUAGUC